GACGAACGCUGGCGGCGUGCUUAACACAUGCAAGUCGAACGGAAAGGCCCUGCUUUUGUGGGGUGCUCGAGUGGCGAACGGGGGAGUAACACGUGAGUAACCUGCCCUUGACUUUGGGAUAACUUCAGGAAACUGGGGCUAAUACCGGAUAGGAGAUCCUGCUGCAUGGUGGGGGUUGGAAAGUUUCGGCGGUUGGGGAUGGACUCGCGGCUUAUCAGCUUGUUGGUGGGGUAGUGGCUUACCAAGGCUUUGACGGGUAGCCGGCCUGGGAGGGUGGCCGGCCACAUGGGGACUGCGGUACGGCCCAGUCGCCUACGGGAGGCAGCAGGGGGGAGUAUUGCACAAUGGGCGCAAGCCUGAUGCAGCGGCGCUGCGUGCGGGAUGACGGCCUUCUGGUUGUAAACCGCUUUCGCCUGUGACGAAGCGUGAGUGACGGUAAUGAGUAAAGAAGCACCGGCUAACUACGUG
rnacentral:rRNA from 1 species